ensembl:rRNA 5S_rRNA 5S ribosomal RNA
GCCUACGGCCAUACCACCCUGAGAACGCCCGAUCUCGUCUGAUCUCGGAAGCUAAGCAGGGUCGGGCCUGGUUAGUACUCGGAUGGGAGACCGCCUGGGAAUACCAGGUGCUGUAAGCU